rnacentral:lncRNA from 1 species
AAAUAUUAAAGUUAAGAUCAAAUAUAACCUAUUAGCUAAGAUUUCUACUUUCAGUGACUUCCAAAUUUUUUGAGCCGAAGUCGAAAAAGUAAGAUUUAAUUGUAACUCACUUUAUCAGCCCACUUUUGUAAAUUGACUUUCAUAUUCACUAUCGUAAACCAAUCAGUUGAUAAGACGUCACUUUCUAAAAGUAUUACUUUCGAAACUUCACUUUCGGCGAAUCAAACAUAAGUCUUUUUUUUUUUGCUAUAAACAAUUAUUUUUACUAUUUGGUUCGCAGUAAUAAAGAUACGCUCGAAACUUGAGUUAUUUGAAAUAAAUAAUUGAUUUCGGCCUGCCCUGGACCGAAAUCAAUUACGGUAAAGGGCUUGGUGGUUGGUACCCUAGGUCCCAAAUUCAAAUCCUAGUUGAUUCACAUUUCCAGCUAAGUUUAGUUCUAAAUGAAAUAAACGAAGCGGGUAGCGUGCUACCUAUCUCUCAAAAAAAAAUUACAGUAAAAAGAGGUGAAGGGAAAAAAAAAAAAAAACAUGGGUAAUGCUAUUAUAUUUAAAUAUAUUUAAUUAUGGUGCCAAUUAUUUUUUUUACUUAAUUUGCAUAUUUAAAAUAUGAUAAAAAUUGAUUAGUUAAGUUCUAGUAUUUUUUAAUUUAGUUUGUACAUUUAAAAUAUGGUAGAAAUUGAUUUUUAAUAUCUUUAUAUUUUACAAUUUUAUUGUUGCAUUAUUUUAAUAAAAUUAAUGUGUUACUGUUAGAAGAAUAAUUUGGUUGUUUUAGAUUAAAUUCUUUAAUUAUAUAGAAAUAUCAUUAUAUUAUUUUUAUUUAUUAUAUUAUAACUUAUUACUUAUUAGGUUCUUUAUUAUUAUACAUAAAUUAUAGUCUUAUAUUUUUCACUUCAUACCAAACAAACAAACAAACAGCAAAGCUGAAAAAAAAUUUAUUUUCACAGCUAUGAAAACAAACAUAGGAGGGGAGAAAUAUUUCUCACCUGAACUCCAGUUCAACCCAAAGUCCAGUUUCGAUGAAACAAACAAGCCUUGAGCGGGGAAGGAACUUAGCUAAUUCACUUGUUUGGUAAUCUUCUCUAUAAUUAAUUAACACCAUUUCGUACGCUGCUCUUCUUCAUAAUAUGCUGUUUUGUAAAUUGCAAGAACAAAAGGACUAAACUGAGAGAAAAAGGUUAUAAAUAACAAAUUGGGUUCCGUCUUGGGCCAACACCCAACAACGGUCCUGUGAGAAAGUGUUGCCUCCGCUCUGGGCGGCAUUUAGCUGGUCGGGUUCUCCCUCCGGGAGCGGGACCACCCGAUCCGCCACGCCUGGGAGUCUAUAUAUAUAUAUAUAUAUAUAUACUUCCCAAAUUCCCCUCUCCCCCAAACCCUAAAAAUUCUCGUCGGGCUCCCCGUCCGUCUCUUCUUCUAACCCUAAACCCUAACUCCAAAACCCUAGCAGUGCGAGCGAUGGAGAAGGACGGCGCCCCUGCCGCUGCCUCGACGACCCCGAAGGAUGUGGCUUUCCUUCUGAAGCGCCUGGAGAAGAUGGAGGCACGGACCAAGCGCCUCGAGGACGCGGUCGAGGAACAUCGGGAGAAGUUGCGUGAAUCAUAUGAUUCCCUUUGCACGACGAAGGACGCCUUGGAAGCAGAGCACGAAGCCAGGAAGAGGACGGUGCGCGCCUUGCUGUUCCUGGAGAAGAGGAUGAACAAGGAGGAGCUGGCAUGUUCACACUUUCUGCGCCUUCUUGUGAAAUCCCGUUCCUAAAUUUAUCCUCCUUUUUGCUUGUUUAUACUCUCUAUUUAUGUAGCUAGUCGUCUUGCAUUUCUUCCUUCCUUCUUGAAGCUGUUGCCUUUGUUCGGGACACCGUGACAGGGAGAAACGGCUAUUUAUAAAUCUUUUGCUCAUAGAUCAUUCUCGUGAUUGAUUACUUUUGACAUGUGCAACUUUUCUUCUUUUCUUUUCCUGUAUUAUUGAGUUUCAGAGAGAGAUUAAUUUGCAAAAGCGCUUUUGCGAGUAACAAAAAAAUUUAUUCGUAUCCCGUGUUUUAUAUUUUAUUGUGUAAUGUUCCUAGUCCCGAACCUUUCCAUUGGCAAUUAGGUACGUAACCUCUUCUAAUUAUUUGUAGAAAUAAUUGCAGAGCAGGAUUGCUGCCCUCUUAGGUAGUUUUGAUUCGGAAACAAACGAGAGAAUAAGCUCUUGUUUUUUCCUUUUGUUUCUAAAGUUUUCCAGUUUCUGAAACAAACUGGUAUAAGGUUGGAACUACUGUUCCAACUGUUUCCUGGAACUAGCUUGUUCCUCGAUGAGAACAAGAUUAAGUAAAAUCUAAAUUUAAUUUUAAUGACAAUAAAUUAUUAAUUAAUCUAAUUAAUAUAUUUAAAUCAUUAAUUAUUUCUUUAAUAAUUAAAUAAUUAAUUAAUUUAUUAUUUAUAAUUAAUUAUUAAUAAUUAGAAAUUUAUUAUUAUUAAUUUAUUAGUUAUAAUUAAUUAUUAAUAAUUAGAUAAUUAUUAUUAUUAAUUUAUUAUUUAUUAUUAAUUAUUAAUAAUAUUUAUUAUUAUUUAUUAAUAAUUAUUAUUCUUAAUAAUAAUCAAUAUUAUUAUUAAUUUAUUAUUUAAAAUUAAUUAUUAAUAAUUAUUAUUCUUAAUAAUUAGAUAAUCGAUAUUAUUAUUAAUUUAUUAUUUAUAAUUAAUUAUUAAUAAUUAUUAUUAUUAUUAUUAUUUAUCAUUAGAUAAUUGAUAUUAUUAUUAAUUUAUUAAUUUAUAAUUAAUU